UACUUUUAAAAAAGUAAAUAAACUGUAAUAUUACCAUUGAUGUGUAUUGAUGAUGUACAGAAUUAAUUGGCAUGUACGGUUUACAAAGCGUAUUAUUCGUAUAGUUUGUCUUCAACACAUUUCUUUAGUAUUACUUUACAAUUGUUUAUUGUGUUCUUCCGUUUUUGAGAUAUUAAAGUUUUUGUUUCGUAUGUAUUCAUGUCACAGGUAUAGUGUAAUAAUUGUCAAAAUUUUUUUUUGUUAUGAUUAUUCUCAUGAGGGAAUAAUGAUAACUUCUUUAAUCUUUCAUCUGAAAAUGGCGAUUUACAUUACACAACUUUUGCCUAAAACUGCAUGUCGCAUGCAAACUGCUUACAACUUGAGUUGUAUUGUGUAAAUCAAGCACACAACUUACCUACGACAACGUAAGUAAGUUGUGUGUUUGAUUUACACAGUACAACUCAAGUUGUAAGCAGGUUGCAUGCGACAGUUUUAGGCAAAAGUUGUGUAAUGUUGUAAAUCUGCCUAUCAGUUUCUAUUCUAGAUGUUUAAAUCCAAACAUGCCAUCAUUUUCAACAUUUCAAAAAUUCAGCCCUGCCAAGUACGUCAAAAUUAAUUUGCAUAUCAAACUGAAACAUCUCAAAAACGUAGACAGAUUUGAAAAUAAUGCAAAAUACCUAUCAAUUACAGUUCUAAGAGGUCUUUCUAUUACAUGUCUAAAGAUCAACAUAAACUUUCUUUAAGGUUAUCCAUUAAAUCUACUCAGUUGUCUUCAUGAAAUUCAGUGGCGUGUACAACUUAGUACAAGGGUACUGCUCCCAAAGAUCCCCCUUUGCCAGCCAUUCGAGGCGCGGCUCCAUUUACGUAUCCACCGUUCCUGUAGCCUUUGUAUUGAACAGGAUGUUCCUUUCGUAAGUCGUACUCCUA